rnacentral:tRNA from 1 species
GAUAUGUUAGCUCAGUGGUUAGAGCUCCCGCUUGUUAAUCUCGGGGUCCGCGGUUCAAGCCCUCGUCUACUCU